rnacentral:rRNA from 1 species
UGCAAGUCGAACGAGAAGUACAGUAGCAAUACUGUAUUGUAAAGUGGCGCACGGGUGAGUAACACGUGGGUAAUCCGCCCUCGAGUUUGGGAUAACCCCGCGAAAGCGGGGCUAAUACCGGAUAAGACCACGGAGACCAAAGUCUCUGAGGUAAAAGGUGGCCUCUAUUUAUAAGCUACCACUUGAGGAUGAGCCCGCGGCCCAUUAGCUAGUUGGCAGGGUAACGGCCUACCAAGGCAAUGAUGGGUAGCUGGUCUGAGAGGACGAUCAGCCACACUGGAACUGAGACACGGUCCAGACUCCUACGGGAGGCAGCAGUGGGGAAUAUUGCGCAAUGGGCGAAAGCCUGACGCAGCAACGCCGCGUGGGGGAUGAAGGUUCUCGGAUUGUAAACCCCUUUCGAUCGGAACGAAUCCCCUCCUGGUAAAUAAUCAGGAGGAUCGACGGUACCGAGAGACGAAGCCACGGCUAACUCUGUGCCAGCAGCCGCGGUAAGACAGAGGUGGCUAGCGUUGUUCGGAUUUAUUGGGCGUAAAGCGCACGCAGGCGGUUUGGUAAGUUAGAGGUGAAAGCCCACGGCUUAACCGUGGCAUUGCCUUUGAUACUGCCUUUCUUGAGUAGAGUAGGGGGAAGCGGAAUUCCGAGUGUAGAGGUGAAAUUCGUAGAUAUUCGGAGGAACACCGGUGGCGAAGGCGGCUUCCUGGACUCUAACUGACGCUCAUGUGCGA